rnacentral:rRNA from 1 species
CCUACGGGAGGCAGCAGUGAGGAAUAUUGGUCAAUGGGCGCGAGCCUGAACCAGCCAAGUCGCGUGAGGGCAGACGGUCCUAUGGAUUGUCCCCCUCUUUUGUCGGGGAGCAAAAGACGCCACGCGUGGCGUUCCGAGAGUACCCGAAGAAAAAGCAUCGGCUAACUCCGUGCCAGCAGCCGCGGUAAUACGGAGGAUGCGCGCGUUAUCCGGAUUUCUUGGGUUUAAAGGGUGCGCAGGCGGAAGCUCCCGUCAGCGGUAAAAUUGAGAGGCUCCCCCUCUUCGCGCCGUUGCCCAUGGUUUUCUUGAGUGAGCGAGAAGUAUGCGGAAUGCGUGGUGUAGCGGUGAAAUGCAUAGAUAUCACGCAGAACUCCGAUUGCGAAGGCAGCAUACCGGCGCUCAACUGACGCUCAUGCACGAAAGUGUGGGUAUCGAACAGGAUUAGAUACCCGGGUAGUC